GCCGGUGUAGCUCAGCUACAGGUAGUACCCGUGUGGUGCCCAAAGCGAUCGGCUGUUAACCGAUUGGUCGAAGGUUCGAGUCCUUCCACCGGCG
rnacentral:tRNA from 1 species